rnacentral:lncRNA from 1 species
CUCUGUCACCCAGGCUGGAGUGCAAUGGCGCUAUCUACUGCAGCCUCUGCCUUCCAGGUUCAAGCGAUUCUCCUGCCUCAGCCUCCCCAGUAGCUGGGAUUACAGACGUGCGCCACCACGUCUACGUAAUUUUUGUAUUUUUAGUGGAGACAGGCUCUCACCAUGUUGACCAGGCUGGUCUCGAACUCCCGACCUCAAGUGAUCCGCCGGCCUCGGCCUCCCAAAGUGCUGGGAUUACAGGCGUGAACCACCAUUCCUGGCCCUUCUGUUACUUUUCCACUGCUGUUGAGAUAGAAGUCACUGUUGGGAUCCAACCUUUUUGUUUGUAUAAACUGGAGACCCUUGGUCUUCAUGUCUUUGGUGUGUGCACUCUUGAACACAUGCCAGGCACACAGGGUGCAUGACAACAAGCCUAAUAUUGUCCUAAUCAUGGUUGAUGACCUGGGUAUUGGAGAUCUGGGCUGCUACGGCAAUGACACCAUCAGGUA